AUACGAUCUAGACCAUAUAUAAAUUUGAUCAGGACAAGGAUUCUUAUAAAGGGAAUUCUCUGAAGUUAGGCUUUUAGGACAGUAGUAACCGUGGCUCGGAGCAGAUCUUUCUUAUCUAAAAGGCAACGUUGCGGCUUGAUUGAUAAGCAUGGCUCUGCUGCUUAUUCUGUUACAAAUAACACUGGUGUGGCAACAAAUUGUGUAUUCGGGAGAACAGAAAAAAGGAAAUGAUGCAGUAAAUCCGCAGUCUGGCGUUCAAAUCUCGGAAUUUGGAAAAAGAAAAACUUUUUCCGAUGCAGAAAUUCCACCGUCCAUCUCUAGGAUGAAUUCCUGGAAAGGAAAACGAGGAAAAAUGUCUGGUGCAGACAUUCCACCGUCCAUCUUUAGGACGAAUUCCUGGAAAGGAAAACGAGAAACUAUGUCUGGUGCAGACACUCCACUGGCCAUCACUAGGUUGAAUUCCUGGGAAGGAAAACGAGCAGACAUUCCACCGUCCAUAUUCAAAAAACCAGGGCUUGGGAAAAGAGACCCAGCUGUAACUGAUUAAGCUGCUCUGUCUCUAGUUUAAGAGCGUUUGGAGGUUAUAAUUUCCCUUUCAGCAUACCAGAAGAUUAUUUAGACUAAGAUGGACCCUAACAGUCACCAGACACAGAUAGAAACUUUAGAACGCUUCGGUUAGACUUAAAACUCCCUUAGCAAACUAAUGUGUUAUGUCUUCGUAGAGAUGCCAGAUAAAAAGUUUGAAAUGCGA